rnacentral:rRNA from 1 species
AUUGAACGCUGGCGGCAGGCCUAACACAUGCAAGUCGAGCGGAUGAAGAGAGCUUGCUCUCUGAUUUAGCGGCGGACGGGUGAGUAAUGCCUAGGAAUCUGCCUGGUAGUGGGGGAUAACGUUCCGAAAGGAACGCUAAUACCGCGUACGUCCUACGGGAGAAAGCAGGGGACCUUCGGGCCUUGCGCUAUCAGAUGAGCCUAGGUCGGAUUAGCUAGUUGGUGAGGUAAUGGCUCACCAAGGCGACGAUCCGUAACUGGUCUGAGAGGAUGAUCAGUCACACUGGAACUGAGACACGGUCCAGACUCCUACGGGAGGCAGCAGUGGGGAAUAUUGGACAAUGGGCGAAAGCCUGGUCCAGCCAUGCCGCGUGUGUGAAGAAGGUCUUCGGAUUGUAAAGCACUUUAAGUUGGGAGGAAGGGCCGUAAGUUAAUACCUUGCUGUUUUGACGUUACCGACAGAAUAAGCACCGGCUAACUUCGUGCCAGCCGCCGCCGUAAAAC